GGCCGCGGGAAUUCGAUUGGCCUAACACAUGCAAGUCGAGCGGUAGAGAGAAGCUUGCUUCUCUUGAGAGCGGCGGACGGGUGAGUAAUGCCUAGGAAUCUGCCUGGUAGUGGGGGAUAACGUUCGGAAACGGACGCUAAUACCGCAUACGUCCUACGGGAGAAAGCAGGGGACCUUCGGGCCUUGCGCUAUCAGAUGAGCCUAGGUCGGAUUAGCUAGUUGGUGAGGUAAUGGCUCACCAAGGCUACGAUCCGUAACUGGUCUGAGAGGAUGAUCAGUCACACUGGAACUGAGACACGGUCCAGACUCCUACGGGAGGCAGCAGUGGGGAAUAUUGGACAAUGGGCGAAAGCCUGAUCCAGCCAGGCCGCGUGUGUGAAGAAGGUCUUCGGA
rnacentral:rRNA from 1 species